GCCUGGGUGGCUCAGUUGGUUAAGCCCCUGACUUCGGCUCAGGUCAUGAUCUCACGGUUUAUGAGUUCAAGUCCCAUGUCAAGCU
rfam:Felis catus isolate Cinnamon breed Abyssinian chromosome B1, whole genome shotgun sequence.